AAAUAAAAAGAAUUCAAUUUUUCAGUUAUUCUUGUUAUAAUAAAAUGUCCUAUAAAUAAAUAAAAAAAAUAAAAAGAAAUAAUUUAUGUCAGCAGCAGGAUCUGGGCUCAGGCUGGUCCACAGUAGCAAGGCUCAUAUCCACAGGACUGCUUCUCUUAGAUGGCGAUUCCAUACUGUAGUUGGGCAUUCACCUAGAGCUUUGACCCGCAGUGUCUCGAAAAUGGUUGACCGUCUGCCGGCGGAGGGGGGUAUCACUGUGUUCAGGAGGACAUGCUCUGCAGCCCUGUUGGGUUUCGUCAAAAUCGG
rnacentral:lncRNA from 1 species